UACGUAGGUGGCAAGCGUUGUCCGGAUUCACUGGGCGUAAAGCGCGCGCAGGCGGUCUUCUACGUCUGGGGGUGAAAACCCGGGGCUCAACCCCGGGACUGCCUUGGAUACGGGAAGACUUGAGGAUCGGAGAGGCAAGGGGAAUUCCACGUGUAGCGGUGAAAUGCGUAGAGAUGUGGAGGAACACCUGUGGCGAAGGCGCCUUGCUGGCCGAUUUCUGACGCUGAGGCGCGAAAGCGUGGGGAGCAAACAGG
rnacentral:rRNA from 1 species